CGUCCGGUGGGAACUGCCGGUCUACGCGGCCGGCAGAUCUGGGCGGGUGCGGACCUGGCCGCGCACAAUUUGUGGUUUCGAGGGAUGGGGUCGCUAAGUCUCUCAGGCUGUUCUGGACCUCGCGAUCCUCCUGCCUCAGCCUCUUGAGUAGCCGCUCAGGCCUGCCCUUGUCUGUCUGCUCUCCCAGCCGCGGGGAGUCGGCGGUCCUGGCAGCACGAGCCCCUCCUGCCCUCACCGGCCCCAGUGAUUCUGAGAGGCCCACCCGCCCUCUCCUCAGCCUUCCUGGAUACAGUGCCUGGUGACAAGGACAUGCUCGGGGCCCACCGGGAAUCGGGGAACCAGGUGACGUGGUGCCUGGCAUCCAGGGCAUCUGGGGUGCAACCUGUUCCAGGCAGGCAUCUCUUGUACUCUUCAGAUGAGGAACCUGGGUCUGAGAGGGGCCCUAAACCAGGGCCUCUGCGGGUCAGGCUGGAGCUCUGCCUCCCCCCACACCCAGCCCCGACGCCCAGCUCCUUAAGCCUGGGCACAGUGGACUGGCUUAGAUGGCAUGGCCAGGCCGGGCACUCUGUCAGAGCUCAUUCCAGCGGGGGUUCUGUGCAGGGGGCAGGGGUUGCCACGCUUUCUGCUGGGCGAGGUCUGCCCUGACCAGCUGUGACCCCACCGCAGGCCACUGGGGAUGCUGUUCCGCCCACACUCUGGCUGCACCCUGGAGAGCAGCUAUUUUUACUGAUCAUCUCUCCCAAAGUGGGCAGGUGGGUGCACGUUGGGGAAUGCUGCGGGUGUGGCCGGGACAUGGGGACCCCUCCCCAGGCAGUGGCUGAGCACGGGGGAGAGGAGCCCAAAGAGCUGCUGCGUCAGGGAGGAGGAGGUGGAUGGACACUGCGUUCUGGCGAAGCCUGAGGUAUCUGCCCAGACCCCUGCAAUGUGGCUCUUUCCUAAAAGAGAGAUGGAAAAUAAAGGAUGCAUUUGUGCCA